rnacentral:miRNA from 1 species
UGGUCUCCGCUUUAACCUAUUAGGUUGGUGCAAAAGUAAUUGCGGUUUUUGCCAUUAAAAGUAACGGAAAGAAACUGCAAUUACUUUUGCAUCAACCUAAUACUUU